UCUAUCAGCAGGGGGAGGAUGGUCUGACUUAGAGCCAGGUAGUCAAGGGUCGGUCUGCUUGCAGGCAAUUGGGUCACAGCAGAUUAGGGCUGAUAAGGUUCAAACAGGUCAUAGCUAUCAGCAGGGUUUCAAACAGAUAAGAACUUCAAUGGAGGCAUUCAAGGCGGGGCUUCGAGCACCCAGAAAGGAACCUCCCCAGACAGCUUCCCAGAAAGGGACGAAAGGCGCCGACAGGGGGCGUGGGAGCAAAAAGGAAGGCGCGCUCACAGCACUUUUUGCUAAGGGUUGAGUACCAGGAAGAGGAGUUCUUUGAAAUGAAAUGGAGCAAACCUCUGGACAGCAAGAAAGCAUAUUCCUAGAAUAUGAGAUACUUUGAGGUGAGAGGUGAGAAAAGGUCUGAUUGAUUCUGAAGCUCAUGCUGGUCUUGAACUCAGGCUGGGAUUAGGAGCAUCGGCCACCACACCGACUUUAAAAUAGCUUCAAGUUGUAAAAUGUUUUCUUCCGCCAUUCUCAGAUGUAAGUAUUGGAUUAACAAAUCUUUCAACUGUAUGACAUUAGAAGUUUUGGACUUAAAGACAUGAUGGAAAAUGGUCUUCCCAGCUCUACAGUAGUCUCAUCGUUAGUGUCACUCCUGAUGGACAGGCUUGGUCUCACUUCCAAACUCCUGGGAAAGAAGAGUUUCCAGGACUCCUGUGUGAUUCUAGGACUCCAUGCUUGAACCAGUCAGCUGAGGAGGCGCCUGCAUAGCCUCGCAAGAGACGUACAGCUUGUUCCUUAAACUGAAUGUCUGUAAAACGUCUUCCCCAUGUAACAGUCAUACUAAGGGCUGCAUUGGUUUGCGUACAGAGAAGAUUCAGGAUGGAGCCUAAUGUGUCCUGAGCUUUCCAGUAAGCAGGAGAUCACUAUGACGUUCUGUCUCAAGGAGGAAAGAGUCAAUGGAAGGUCCGUGUGUUAAACAGAAUCACCAUGUGACCUGGCAACUUCACUCAAUGUAUGUACCUAAGAAAAAUGAAAAAUCAAUGUCCACACUGCAGUUGAGAGUAACCUAAAUGUCAUCGUCUAACAAAUGGACCAGACGUGGUAGAUCCUUGAACGGACUGUUUAGCCAUAAAGGAGCAACGUGUUGAUACAGAUUACAAAUCAGACGAACUCCGAAAACACACAAAGUGAAAAGAUGCCAGACACAAAAGGUAACACAAUGAACAUCCAGAAUAGGCCAUCUACAGAGGAACAAAAAGAGAUUGGUGAUUACCAAGGACAACCAGGAGGAGAGGGAAGAGGCUGCUCACAGGUAGCUCUUCUCUGGAGUCGGUGGUAAUUGCUGCUACUACACUGAUUUGUGCAUUAUCCAUUUUUGGUUUAUGUAUUCAGUGUAUGUGUAUGUAGAGGGCACAUGUGUGUAUAUGCCUGAGGCUAACCCUAUGUCUCCUCAACCACUCACCUCAUUCACUGAGCCAGAGUCUCUCAAUGGAGUCUGGAGCUCUGUUUUGACUAGUAGGGCUAGCCUGAUUAUUCCAGGGAAUCCUUGUCUCUGCCUCUCACAGGAAUUUUAGGCAAGCUGCCAUGUACAUCAGGAGAUGUAUAUAAAUUUUUUUUGAAUCCUAGGACUCUAGAUACCUGUCCCUGUACUUGCAUGGCAAACACUUUACCAAUAAAACCAUUUCCCCAGUGUACACCCUCUGCUAUGAACUAGAACAGAUAUACCUUUGGUCAGAGUUGCCACACCACCUCCAGUAGGAUCCCUGUGACAAGUUCCACAGACUGAGGCGAUUGACCAAAAUCAAAAGGGGAGGCCUCCUGGAACCGGUUGUGGAACUCUUCGCUGGAGAAAAAAUAUUGAGCCAUAGUUCUCAUGGCAAUCAUCUGUUUUGCUUUCUC
rnacentral:lncRNA from 1 species